GAUUAACGCUAGCGGCAGGCCUAAUACAUGCAAGUCGAACGGCAGCACGGGUAGCAAUACCUGGUGGCGAGUGGCGCACGGGUGCGUAACGCGUAUGCAAUCUACCUAUAACUGGGGAAUAGCCUUCCGAAGGAAGAUUAAUACCGCAUAAUAUCACGAAAUGGCAUCAUUUUGUGAUCAAAUCUCAGGAGGUUAUAGAUGAGCAUGCGNGACAUUAGCUAGUUGGUGAGGUAACGGCUCACCAAGGCUACGAUGUCUAGGGGGUCGUNAGGAGGAGU
rnacentral:rRNA from 1 species